rnacentral:ribozyme from 1 species
UGUCCGGCAACUCCUAUCCCUGCCUCUUCGCGGUACUGUCCGAGGUACGAGCAACUUUAGGGAAGAUCGAGUAAACAACCCAUACCGGGGUCGUUUGCUGACAGGGAAGA